CUUGAUGGAGCCGAGCCGCAGGGGCAGCUCACGGUCCCGCCCGUACGUGGCAAGCAGCGCCUGCGCCUC
rnacentral:antisense_RNA from 1 species